rnacentral:rRNA from 1 species
UCAAAACUUUCAACAACGGAUCUCUUGGCUCUGGCAUCGAUGAAGAACGCAGCGAAAUGCGAUAAGUAAUGUGAAUUGCAGAAUUCAGUGAAUCAUCGAAUCUUUGAACGCACAUUGCGCCCGCCAGUAUUCUGGCGGGCAUGCCUGUUCGAGCGUCAUUU